AGAACGAACGCUGGCGGCAUGCCUAACACAUGCAAGUCGAACGCUUUUGGGGCUUCGGUCCCAAAGGAGUGGCGCACGGGUGAGUAGCGCGUGGGAACCUGCCCUGUUGUGGGGGAUAACCGAGGGAAACUUCGGCUAAUACCGCAUACGCCCGGGGGAAACUCCGGGGAAAGAUUUAUCGCAGCAGGAGGGGCCCGCGUCGGAUUAGGUAGUUGGUGGGGUAACGGCCCACCAAGCCUGUGAUCCGUAGCUGGUCUGAGAGGAUGAUCAGCCACACUGGGACUGAGACACGGCCCAGACUCCUACGGGAGGCAGCAGUGGGGAAUAUUGGACAAUGGGCGCAAGCCUGAUCCAGCAAUGCCGCGUGAGUGAUGAAGGCCUUCGGGUUGUAAAGCUCUUUCGCACGCGACGAUGAUGACGGUAGCGUGAGAAGAGCCCGGCUACUUCGUGCCAGCAGCCGC
rnacentral:rRNA from 1 species